rnacentral:piRNA from 1 species
UCAGGAAAGCAUUGCAAUAAA